GGAGAGUCGCGCUAGCUUGGAUGCGAGCCCGCGCCUCUAUCUCCCCCCUCAUGAGCCGCGCACCCCGUCCCCAGGCCCAGAUCCCAUCCUACCUACGCAGGCUUGUGUGUCGCCGGCAAUGGAGGUCGCAUGCUCCUCCUCGCUCACCUCUCCAUACCGAAUGUGAACAUCAAAUCUGGUUUUUUGUGCUGGCGGCGGCCUCAAUGGUCAAAGUGAAUACGGUGCUGGUGCCUGGCGCCUACGGACCUCGCAGGCACUCCGUCUCCUCCCGCAUCCCCUGCACGGCGGCCUUUUACUCUGGUGUUCUGCUUGCCUGUCCAGUCUUUGCCCCCCACCCCCCUCCCCCUCUCAGAUAGAUCUUAAUUCUUUCCCCUUUUUACAAAUUAGUAGGGGAUGAUUUUGUGUAAACGCACGAAUAUUUCCCUUUCUAUUUUUGAGGUGUGGUCUUUUUCUUAGACGUACCAAUCAGAGGUCCAUACCAAAUAGCUAGAUGGACUGGCUAAUGGUUUUACUGAUUAUAUCUAAUAAAUAAAUAUGCUUCUAUAUGAACCUUUCUGAUAUCUUCUGAUUAAUAUGUGUUAUUCUUUCAGCUUCUACAUGAACAUGUCAUGAACCUCUCACCUCUGUACACCACAUCUAAGAACAUGCUAAGUACCAUUUGGGUAUGUGCUGAUUACAAUCUGUAGCUUGCCAAAUUCAGUUGUGCAGGUAUGUUAGAGCAUGGAGCUACCCGUUGUACCAUCAUGAGGACACACUAAAUUUUCUGACACCCCUUUUGCUAAGUAAUGUUUGAGCCUCCCUUCUCAUGGUGUUAUUUCUACAAUCAGUGGUUAAUAUUCAUGGUGGCCUGCUGAGUAUAGUGUUACCAACAUUAUAUCAAUUUGACUGCCAAUAAUUUUGUACAUUGAAUUUUUGUUCAAUACCUAUCCAUUUCUAGAUCUUAUUUUACAUGGACUACCUGGAUAGAUAUGCCUGUGAGUUUGGUAUAUAUCCAACUAUAAUCAGUACUUUCAUAAUUUGUGAACUCAUUAAUCAACAGGCUUUCUCCCUUAUUUGAUCCUCCAUAAAUGGGUGAGUGGCAAUGCUUGCAUAUUGUUUGUCCAGAGGUCAUGAAUCCAUCUUUUCUGCAAGCCUAUAUGGAUUUCUAAACAAUCAACGAAACUAUGAUGCUCUUUGUAUAUUCAUAAUUUUUCUAAAUUAAAGAAGAGGAGGAAAGCUCUAUCAUCAAACAUUUCACAGUUUUCCAUUCUUACCAAGUUAUUUUUUUUUAUCUUAGUCCACCUUAUGUUUUAGGAUUUCACAAGCAAAGUGAACUCUUGAUUCUUUCAUUUGCCCUCCUUGCAAUGACAUUCCUUACUGACCGUUCGUUGGUCCUUCUCCAUGGCACAUGGCACAAUUGCAUCUCAUGCAUCAUUCAGAUGCGCCACUCUGGAGUCUGGACUGGCCAAAAUAGAAGGCAGCGACUUGCCGGGAGAAUAGAGGCAAGGCAAGAGGCCAUCUUAACAUCCACUCCUUCAACUGCUACUUGUGGUAGAACAAAAAAGAUUGCAUUCUCCUAUGACUUCUCGCAUCUUGGACCUCAAUAAUUUGUUUAGCUAUUCGUGCAAUGUUUGAUUUGACUGCUAAUACUGAGAAAAACAUGUGAUGUACCUUAAUUGCCAUAUAGAAGCUACAGUAGUAUAAUACUAAUAGAACUCACUAGGUAAUUGAUUUGAUGCUGAUUAGUUAUAACUUAUAAGUGACUUUGUUUAAUUCUGCAAAUGUUCUUUUUAGAAUGCAGAAUUUCUUUACUGUACAAUCAUUUGUUGCUUGGUUAAAAUAAUGAAAGACAGAUUAUCAAAAUAGUUGGUGGAAACCUGCAACCAUAGUGGCUGCUCAUGAGUUUGAUACAGAUUUGUCAAGCAGGUGUGGUCGAGCAUGCAGCAAUCCCCGGUGAGGCACCUCAGAGUCAGUGGUCAGAAUUUAGCUGCAGAAAUGUAGUUAUGUCAUAGUCGAGUACUGUUAUGCCUACACCUAUGCAUCAUAAACAAACUAAAUAAAUUAGAUACAAAAUUGUAGGUCUUUCAGUAGUUGAAAGAUGCUGUUCUUCUCACAAAAUAAAAUACAAUUGAAUCGCAAAAGAAAAGAUGAUAAACUACAUCUACUUGAUCAUUUUUUUUGCCAAUGUUCUAAAUCUUAUUCUCAUCAUGACACAAAUCUAGCACCUCAACUCUUAUACUUUUCAUAUCUCCUCAUAAAUCAUCCUUGCAUUUGCUUUCGAUAUUGGGAAAUCAUGUGAGCAGUUUUGGCUACAUCUGAAUGGUAAACAAGAUAUAUUUUAGCUAUGGAAAAAAUUUAGAUGACUGUUAUCAGUUUUGUAAAUUAUAUUUCCCAUCAUGUUGAUUUAAUCUCUGCUAUUUCAUUUAUCUCUGUUUCGUCAAGUGGACCGGGGGCAACCAACACUUAUCAAGUGAAAGUUGCAGGUAUCAAAUUUUUGUAUAGUUGAGUACACAAUGCUCUGACUUAAGCUUAUUAGAAAUUCCAUCGAUUCGUUUCUUUAUUAAAAUAAAUAAUAUUUUAAAAUAUAUUUGGAUGUAUCUUGCAGCUCUGUCAUACUCAAUGCUCUGAAGUGCCUUAUCUCAAAUUAGUAUAUAGUAUGAUUUUAGCAUACUAGAAUUUCAUAGGUUACGAAGGUAAUUAAAAUCAGUGUAGUCUAUGGAUUACUCAAGUAUUUUUUUCCCAUUAUAAUUCUCAUUUCAAACAUGAUAAGCUUGGUUAUUUCCUCACUUCCUCUCCUUUUUUUUUGCAGUAUUCUAUUCUCCAGCAAUGCCAGAUCAUUUGAUUAAAGCAUCAGAUAUGAAAUGUUGCUCGAGGCGCCCUACAGUGCAGCAACCAUAUGUAGCUAUGCACUUUAUUAUUAAAUUAAGAGAUAAUAGAUUUUAUUA